UGUGAAACUAGUGAGGCUGUGGACGCUGCAACAGGCUCUACAGCCACGGAGCAGGUCCAUCAUGCUGCAGAUUUUGAAGCAGUGUCUUCAGUGACCUCCACCGUGAAUGAGACUGUCCCUCUCUCUGAAGGACAAGAUGCUGGUCAAGAACAUGAGUCCAGAAGAGAAGAACGUGUGCUCUAAGGCUGAGGUUGCUGCAGUAAUGCGGCAUUUCAGAGAUCACAUUUGUAAAGAGUCAUUGCAAGCUGGUAGAAGGCCCUGCAUUAGCACAAAGAACAGUAAAAAUAUACGGGACUUUGUCAGAAACAGAGAAUAAC